rnacentral:rRNA from 1 species
ACCUGUUGGCAGAUCACCGUGAGUGUGCCCGAUAUUGGCGUAUCUCAGAAGUGAAGCAGGGUUGAGCCUGGUUAGUACUUUGAUGGAAGACUUGCCUGGGAAUCAUCAGCCUGGUAGGAC